GACGAACGCUGGCGGCGUGCCUAAUACAUGCAAGUUGAGCGAUGAAGAUUGGUGCUUGCCCCAAUUUGAAGAGCAGCGAACGGGUGAGUAACGCGUGGGGAAUCUGCCUUUGAGCGGGGGACAACAUUUGGAAACGAAUGCUAAUACCGCAUAACAACUUUAAACAUAAGUUUUAAGUUUGAAAGAUGCAAUUGCAUCACUCAAAGAUGAUCCCGCGUUGUAUUAGCUAGUUGGUGAGGUAAAGGCUCACCAAGGCGAUGAUACAUAGCCGACCUGAGAGGGUGAUCGGCCACAGUGGGACUGAGACACGGCCCAAACUCCUACGGGAGGCAGCAGUAGGGAAUCUUCGGCAAUGGACGAAAGUCUGACCGAGCAACGCCGCGUGAGUGAAGAAGGGUUUCGGAUCGUAAAACUCUGUUGGUAGAGAAGAACGUUGGUGAGAGUGGAAAGCUCAUCAAGUGACGGUAACUACCCAGAAAGGGACGGCUAACUACGUG
rnacentral:rRNA from 1 species